AGUGAACGCUGGCGGCAGGCCUAACACAUGCAAGUCGAACGGCAGCACAGAGGAGCUUGCUCCUUGGGUGGCGAGUGGCGGACGGGUGAGGAAUACAUCGGAAUCUGCCUAUUUGUGGGGGAUAACGUAGGGAAACUUACGCUAAUACCGCAUACGACCUACGGGUGAAAGCGGAGGACCUUCGGGCUUCGCGCAGAUAGAUGAGCCGAUGUCGGAUUAGCUAGUUGGCGGGGUAAAGGCCCACCACGGCGACGGUCCGUAGCUGGUCUGCGAGGAUGAUCAGCCACACUGGAACGGAGACACGGUCCGGACUCCUACGGGAGGCAGCAGUGGGGAAUGUUGGACAAUGGGCGCAAGCCUGAUCCAGCCAUGCCGCGUGGGUGAAGAAGGCCUUCGGGUUGUAAAGCCCUUUUGUUGGGAAAGAAAAGCAGCCGGUUAAUACCCGGUUGUUCUGACGGUACCCAAAGAAUAAGCACCGGCUAACUUCGUGCCAGCCGCCGCCGUAA
rnacentral:rRNA from 1 species